ensembl:lncRNA
CUAAUUAAUUCAGUCUUCAAUUAUUAAUAUGAGUAUUAUGACACAUUGAUUUGUUUCUCAUGUUUAUUUAUUUAUAUCCUACAAAGAUUUGUUGAAUGUAGCUUCUGCUAUAACAACAUAAAUCACACAUGACAUUUCACAACAAGCAUUUUUCCUCCAUUCUAGGCUAUGGCUAAAUGCAUUGACUUUCGUUUGCGGGUCGAAGCGAUUUAUUCUCUGAUAUUCAAAAGACAUUAAAUGACUAUUUGUUUAGGUUAAAAAUAACAAAUUGGUCGCUUGGUUGUCUGUGUUUAAACGAGGGAUGCUAUACACAUAGUUCAAUACGCUAUAUAGGCUCAUAUGCAAAUCUAUUCUCCAGUUAUGGAAUACGCCCACACAGAAAGCUAAAACCGUUAACCAUUAUGGUUUCUGUUGGGCUGCAUGUAUCUACAUUUUGCCUCAUACACAUGUGAUUACAAAGGUGGGCUAAUGCGUUACACCAAUCUUUUCAACCGAAGCCCUUCAGCUGAAAGUAAAACGAUGCAAAAGUGGCACCAGGCCUAUUAAUAAACAUGCACCUGCUGAUAGUAUGAUAACUGGGGCGGCAGGGUAGCCAAGUGGUUAGAGCGUUGGACUAGUAACCGGAAGGUUGCAAGUUUAAACCCCCGAGCUGACAAGGUACAAAUCUGUCGUUCUGCCCCUGAACAGGCAGUUAACCCACUGUUCCUAGGCCGUCAUUGAAAAUAAGAAUUUGUUCUUAACUGACUUGCCUGGUUAAAUAAAGGUAAAAUAAAAUAAAAUAAAAACUGCUUUAUAUACAAUGGCUGUUUAUCAACAGUGCUUCAAGGCAUAGACUAUAACUGGGAAAACACUAUAUAAGUCAUGAGUUUCAUUUUCAUCAUAAUCAUCUUCUCCAAGCGUACAAACGAAAAGGACAUGUACUCUUUUCGUGACUCACCUUGCCCGCACAAUGAAUAACGAAUUAAGGAAAGGGUCACAAUAUCCUCUGUGCGCAUCACAUUUGCUUCCAUACAAGCAUAUCAAGCAAACAAGUAUUUGCUUAUAAUAUAUUAAUGACAACUUGGGCUAACUUGUAUGUAUAAAAAUCCUUAUAUCAUCAUUGUAAAAACGUUUUAAACCAGACGAUAGUCACCCGAUAACUCUUCGAGUAUGAACCUGAGUGUGUUGAAAUGGAUAAUAGGUGGAAGAGGGCUGAGAAAAUACGUGUAUUGAAAGCUUCUCACUCGUCACCACGUCUCUCUUUUCAAGAGCGUCACUGCCCCAAGGGUUGGCAACCGCUCUCUUGGGCCUCACGAGGAAGUGCACGUAGGCCUACAUUUGAUUCAGCGCGUUCAGACAAAAACGACAGGGUUGGAUAGACGUGUGUAAAGUUCUAACAUCAUUCUCCAGUGAUAGACCAUAGCAAUUUAGGCAUCAACAUGAAACAUCGUUUCAAUCUAGGCGGAUGUAUUUGUUUUGUAGCCUGUAGGUCGGUUAAAUGUAGGGAUUGUAGAGACUGAAAUACGUUUUAAACGUUCACGACACGACAUAUUGCCUAGAGGCUUAGUAGGUUUUAUGGUUUGUUUAGCAAAAUGUUGGAAAACAGUAUGGUGCCAUCCAUUACUUUGCGCUCAACCCAGCCCACUCACACGUCACUUGUCUUAGCUCAUAUGUAAGACAUGGUCUUAGCUCAUUUGUAAAAAAUGGUCUUAGCGCAUAUGUAAGAAAUGGUCUUAGCUCAUAUGUAAGAAAUGGUGUAAACUCAUAUGUAAGAAAUGGUCUUAGCUCAUAUGUAAGAAAUGGUCUAAACUCAUAUGUAAGAAAUGGUCUUAGCUCAUAUGUAAGAAAUGGUCUUAGCUCAUAUGUAAGAAAUGGUCUUAGCUCAUAUGUAAGAAAUGGUCUUAGCUCAUAUGUAAGAAAUGGUCUUAGCUCAUAUGUAAGAAAUGGUCUUAGCUCAUAUGUAAGAAAUGGUCUUAGCUCAUAUGGAUACAAAUAGCUUGAUUUCCAGCAGAUAAGCCAAUAAAGGUCUAGGCUAUAUAAAUUGAAAAUAUUUGGCCAACAUGCCUUAGGAUAAUUUAUUCGAAUAUCUGGACAACCCAACUGAUAACCAAGCAAUCGUUAGAUAAGAAUCGUGCAGUAAUGGUAAACUACAUAGUGUAACAGAACAUUUGUUUCGGGUGGAUGGCAAAAUUAUUUCGAAUUCAUCCAUGACCAAACUCCUUGGUUCACCAAAUUCACCUUAUUGUAAAUGAUAAUAACAGGCCAUAAUAAUAAUCAUAAUAACAAUAAUAAUAAUAUUCAUUCAUAAUAAUUAUAAUAAUACAGUAAUAAUAAUCAAGUGCCAUUGAGCAAUUAUGCAUGAGCAGUUGAUAAUCACACAGAGAAAGCCCUCCAUGCUCCUUGGAAAAGCUCACUGGGCUGAAGCCACAAUUCGUUUAAACACAUAAUGGAGGUUAGCCUACAUCAUAUGGGGAUAAUGAUUAAAUGGAAUGACUGGGAUGGCGACCCUUAACUUCUGCAGCAUCUGUUUCUGCUAAGCAUUCGCUCUCGGAACAACCACUGCCAAAAUACCCUCUGAAGUUCACAACGUCUUCUUAAACACGCACAGCUUUUUCUUUGAUUUUCUCUCUUCAAUUGUUGCACUCUGCUGACAAAUGAGUUGCCGUAGAUGUAUUUUGUAACUCUAAUAAUGAAUGUAGACUAUUCAGAUAAAGCAGAAGUUCACGCUUUCAUUUUGGCCAAAAGUUGUAAUGCAUGCAAGUUCCCAGAGCAGGCCACGCAGUGUUUUCAUGUGUUAAGCAACAGGGUUGGCACUGGAAUCAAAUGAAGGUCUAAUUAAUAGCUUAGCAGUUCAAAUGGUUUAGAAUUAAAUUGCAUUUUCCAAAACUACUUUCGAACUGAAGAAUAUAUAUUUAGUGUAAAAAACUGAAAUAUCCAACCAACUACCAGUAAACUAAACUUUAGCUAAACUGUACAAAAGUAUUAGGCCUUAUUACGCAUCUGCCAGAUAUUUGGAGAUGUUUUACGCAAAGGAUUUACAUGCCAAAAAUGUUGAAAUAACUGGAAUUUAACAUGAACAUUUUCAAGACAAAAAUACACAUUCGGGUUUAGACCUAAGUUAACAACUUUCACGGAUAGAAUUACAAUUAACUUCAUCUGUGGAAUGUAUAGUUCUAAGCCUACGUUGCAAGCCGGAUAAUAACGGCCAUGCAUUUGUUUAGUGAUAGACCACUUAAUAAUAAUAAUAAUGAACAUAAUAUUAUCGUUGAUAAUUGUUGAAAUUUGUGGUUUAGACCGUUUUUGCAAAAAUAACGAUUAAUUAAUGACCAAUGUUUUACGUUGAAAGAAAUACAAGUUUAUUAAGAAAUUCAAAAUACUAGAAAAAGAGGGAAAAGUGCUAAUUUAACAUGGUCCCAACAUGAAUGAGACAAAAAUAAUUACGAUUAUAAAAAACAAGAAAGGUUAAAAAAAAAUCUGGCACUGGACUGAAUGUUAUCGGAAACCAAACCAUCUCUAUCAGAGGUCACGAAGCCUAAAAAGUCGAUGACCCCCGAAGUAACACAUCUUUGGUAUUGCUCCUUCUGACGGUGCUCUAUCUCCCCACCUGCAUCCCGAGUAAGAACUGUGACACGGUAAUAAAAAAAAUAAAGACAGGCUAAAGAAUCAACAUUUCACCUGGUUUUGCUGGAGUCCGCUCAGUGCACUAUACUGGUUCAAAUACGUAGGAGUUCUAAUUCAAUUAUCACUCGUUCAGGUGAUGUUUAAAAUUCCAAGACAGUGAGAGGGUUUUGUUUGUUUUGUUUUCAUGGAAUUCGUAUCCCCGUGAAAAGGGAACUGGUCGGAUUUGACAAAUUUAACAUACAAUAGCACGGCCUUCUGUCCAAUGCAACAAAAAGUUAUGCUACCUCGUGCUUAGUUGUGACCACUUAAUCUCACAAUUUACAGUUUUUGAAAAUUCCCUCACCAUCCCCACUUGGAUGUCUUUCCAUAUUAAUGUUCAGUACAUUAUUUGGAUCAAAAGAGCCCGUCAUAGUAUUGUCUCUUCAAAAAUAAUUUUGUUUCUGUUUUGAAUACACAGGAAUUUACUUAUUGUCUUUCUCUCACAAGAGUCCAUUUUACAAGUGGCCCUCUGGUAAACUCUAAAUGUCAAUCCUCGUGUGUAACGCGGAGUGUUUGCUCUCGUGAUCCCAAUACGAACAGUGCAUCAUGGAGAGCUCCGUAGGCUGGCGGGAGCAGGCGAACUGCAGGCCACCUCCGUUGCUGGAGGAGACCGGGGGCGGCGCAGCGGUCGCCGGGCUCAGCUGCUGGGCAUGGUGAGCGUGCGGGUGGUGGUGAUGGCUCAUGCCGUUAUAAGAGUUCACCAUACUGGGGAGACCCAUGCUCUGCACCCGGGAGUACGGGUUGUAUGAGGAGGGAGCGGACAGUCCUUUCACAUUUACUGGACUCACGUUGCCACCGGCCAUCUGACAGGAGGUGUAGGACAUCGGGGUGGGCGGUUGGCCCAGCGACCACGAGUUGUUCAUGAAGCUGGACUGCAGGUACUUUGGAGGGGACAGGUAGCCGUACCCAUCACCGCCGAAGAGGGAUUUCCCGGGCUGGAAAUGGGUCGGUGGAGGUCUGAAGGGACGUUUCAUUCGACGUCUCCUUCUGUAGUUUCCCUUCUCGAACAUGUCCUCGCACGCCGGGUCAAGGGUCCAGUAAUUCCCCUUUCUCUCGCCGCCUCCCUCGCGAGGAACUUUGAUGAAACAUUCGUUCAGACUCAAGUUAUGCCGGAUACUGUUUUGCCAGCCUUUCUUGUUUUUCUCGUAGAAAGGGAAUUUGGUGAUUAUAUACUGGUAAAUACCAGAUAGAGUCAGGCGCUUCUCUGUGCUCUCCCGGAUGGCCAUGGCAAUGAGAGCCACAUACGAAUAUGGUGGUUUUUGAGACGGGUCCGUUUUCUCCGAACCCUUUUCCUGGACCGGUUCCUCCUUCGGUCGCUCCUUGUCCUUCGCGGUGUUGGUGUCGUGGACCAUCAGGGCCAUUGCGUCAUCCUCUGGGUUUUGGUAAGUGUCCAUCAUUGCCCACACCAAAACAAAAACAAAUCCAGCACAAAUGCAGAACAACAAACGCGAUUAACUACACUUGCAGAAAAUUAUAUUAGCCUUAGCACCUCAAAAUGGACUCCAAUACAAAACUCUGACGCUGCCUCCUUAACGUUUAGCGCGCAGAGAAAUCCGAGUUUUGAGCCACAGUUUGUGACUUGUUAUGCACCAGCCUCUCCUCUAGAACAUACUUUCUCCCAAACUGGUUUGUGAUGGAAGCGCAGCCCAGGUUGUGGUUUGAUUCCUCUCUUAGCCCAGCCCUUUUGGCUUUU